rnacentral:sRNA from 1 species
GCCAGGCGUGGUGGCGCACACCUAUAAUCCUAGUGACCCAGGAGGCUGAGGCAGGAGGAUUGCAGCUUCGAGGCCAGCCUCAGCAACUUAGCAAGGUCCUAAGCAACUUAGCUAGACCCUGCCUCUA